AAGAAAAAAGAUGGUGGUGUCUUGGGUAUGGUUUUAGAUUCUUUAUCUCACCCCCUCCUUUUUUCUUUUAAGGGUGGGGAUGUUACGGCCGCUGCCGUUUUGAAGCCCAGAGGUGUGCUCCGCGCCGUUCCCUGUGCAGCAGCGCAGCACCACGGACAGCUACGCUCUGGGAUGUUGUCCUUACUCCAGCACCAUGGAGAGCGCCGGAGCGGCAGGCACAAGCAGCUGGGACUUUUUAUCUCAUCAGCCGGCCCUUCAAAAGCGGCCAGCUGGAGCUCAUCAGGGGAGAGAAAUGUUUGGAGUUGCAGAGGCAACGUUUGUUCUCUCCCCGUUGGCAGUUAACAGGUUGUUGUUGGCUUUUUGUAAAGAAGCAGCUUUAGAACCUUUUGUGUUUUGGGAUAGUUGCAUUUAAGCGGUAAUUUUGGUUUUGGUGUGUCUGCUAGACCAUCUUGUGGUUUAAAUUACCAGGUGGGGAUUAUUCCCCUUUUGAAGUCUCAGUUUCCUGAGCUAUUUUUGUUGUUUGGGUAACCUAAGUUAAUUCAGCAUUUGGUUUUGUCUGUUAGACAAACCUUGGUUAAUUUAAGGGUGGGAUUUUCCCCUUUUGCUGUUUCAUUCCCUUUUUAAAUAAAGGAGAUUAAUUUUAAGAGUGGUUGGUCCUCUGGACAUUUUUAGUUAUUCGUUUAAACUCAGUUUGGUAAGGGUUUUUGGCCCUUCUUUUGGUACUUUCUUUUUGUAAUAAAAUCCUUGAAAGGAAACUUUGAGUUUGGUCUUGCUUGGACAAGCCUUUUUCUCCCCAACGAGGGUCACUUUUUGUUAGACUGGUCCAUCUUAUGUUUAUUCCCCUCACCUUCCUAGCUGAGCCCAUAGAGGGGUGUAACAGCUGGUUUUAAGUGUACCACUACGUGUUACCAACCCGUGUCCUUUGGCUGCGUUUUUGGGGUGAUCGGCUCUGCUCCAACUGUGCUUGGGCAAUUAAUCAGUGUUGGGUGUGACAUCAUCGCUUGCCUUUGCUAAACAAAACAUUAGCAAACGGGAAAGAUUGAAUCCCCGUUGCUGCUGGGCAGGGAGUUCCCUUCUACUCAGGGGUCAUCGGUGAGAGGAUCGAUUUCUCCGUGGUCCAGCGUGAGGCGCCGCUGUUUUGUUUCGUUUCCUUUUUCUACAUUUCAAAUCAGCUGUUUGAAGGAAGUUCCCUGGCUCGUGGCCGGAGUCCAGAAGGAAGAACAGCUGAUUUAUAUUGUACACAUUUUAUACCGUUUUUAAUCUAUUUU